rnacentral:rRNA from 1 species
UGGGUAGCUAUGUAUGGACGGGAUAAGUGCUGAAAGCAUCUAAGCAUGAAGCCCCCCUCAAGAUGAGAUUUCCCAACUUCGGUUAUAAGAUCCCUCGAAGAUGACGAGGUUAAUAGGUUCGAGGUGGAAGCGUGGUGACACGUGGAGCUGACGAAUACUAAUCGAUCGAAGACUUAAUCAAUUUUUUAAA